GAGCCACAGCACCACUUCUGGCCAUUUUCUGUUUAUGUGGUGCCAAGGAAUUGAACUAGGGCUUCAUGUAUAUGAGACAAGUACUCUUACCACUGAGCCACCUUUCCAGCCCCUAGAUUU